AUUAUCAUUUAGGAAAUGGGUAAGUUUUAGUGCUUUUAUCAGAUUCUGUUUGAUUUAAUUGUUUCUUUGAACCAACCUUUUGGGAUCUCCAAUCGAGGUGGUGGGGUUUCCAUCAAACAUCUUCUUAAUAAUAGUCAAGAAACUCAAAUUUAAUCUCAUAAUAAACCUUAAUUUGGUAUAUGAAAGCUAUAUGAAAGCUACGAUCUUAUCUCAUUAAAACCUAAUGUUUGACCUUAGAUUUACAGGAGCACUGAUUAUCAUUUAGGAAAUGGGUAAGUUUUAGUGCUUUUAUCAGAUUCUGUUUGAUUUAAUUGUUUCUUUGAACCAACCUUUUGGGAUCUCCAAUCGAGGUGGUGGGGUUUCCAUCAAACAUCUUCUUAAUAAUAGUCAAGAAACUCAAAUUUAAUCUCAUAAUGAACCUUAAUUUGGUACAUAUCCAUAAGGUCGCCAGUUGAAACUUUUGAUAUCACAGUUUUUAGGCUUAAUUUUGACCUUUUUGGAAGUAGUUUUUCAACUUUUCUAAGCACCCCUACAUUUUUCGGUAUUUGUACGAAUGUUUGUUACCUAAGUGUAUAUGGCUUUAUGCCAUUUAUUAUAUGUGGUAUGCGAUGCCCCUCCCCACAUUUUUUUAGAUAACUCAGGAUCAUGUAUGCUUGUAUUCAUCUGUAUUAGAGUUUAGAAUUUUUGUUCCGCAAUGGAUUAUACUGAACAAGGAGCAAUUCUUACGAGGAAUAAUGUUAAUUCUAACACAUUUAAUCUCGUUUAAGUUACCACAUACACAUUCCAUUAUGUUAUGGAAUGCUGACUCAAAACUACAACACUUCAUGUGUUAGUUUUUAUCAAAUUGGUUUGAGAUUUCAUAUUGUCUCUACGUAAACCAAUAUUGCUACAACAUUCGCCAGGCCUGCUACGAUGUGUGUCAGCUUUUGGAACUAUCCACUGAACUUCUUUUAAGCAUGUUGCUUGCUGAAGCUAAUUUAUAAUUUCAUAUGAAUAUUAGGCUUUCAUAGUUCUUUUUCUCAAUCACUUUCGCAUUAUGUUCACAGUGGUGAAUGUCAUAUGCUUUGUGAUUUGCAUAUUUGACUUACUUGAAAGUCAAUUCAUAUGACUCAUAGUCUUUGCUUGUGAGAGAUAUAUUUUAUUCGAAAAUUUCCAAUUUUACCUACAGACCUAAUAUAUCAAAUUAAUUGAUGUACAUAGGCUUGGCCAACAUGUAAUGGUGCUGUGUGGAUCCAUGGAUGGCCAUUGGCUAUUUCAGGAUUCUAAUGGUACAAAACAAGGAGAUGUGGGUUACAUAAAAAUCAGGAAACGCAUGGAAACUCUCACAGAAUUUUUCAAGAUGAGUUGAGGAAGGAGAAGACAAAUAAACACCAUAUAAGCACGGAACAAUCCUCUUCAAAUAGGGCUAAACCUGACAACAACAAAUCAAUGAGUUAGGAAGGGUUUGAUAGCUGAUAAUGAGUUAGACCUAACAACAACAAAUCAAUGAGCGAUAGCUGAUAAUGAUUUUUACCAGUAUUAACUUACUUACUUGGAUAGUCACUUCUAAAGUGUAUUGUGCUCCGAAUGAUAAACCAUCAGGUUGUUGUUGCCAUUGAGUUUUGAGAUGUUGCUCAUCAUUUGAUAAAUCUGAAUCUCCUCUUGAUAUACGCCCACAACAGAUCCACCUGCGCAUAUUCUUCUUCAAAUACACAGAUACUCCUCACACCUUUGUAGCUCCUGCAAACCGUUCAAACCAAACCAACUCGGUAUGUAUAUACAUAAAAGAGAAACUAUCUUGUAUCACUUGAAACAUUUAACGAGUUAGAAUAAUAUCACAGGGAAGGAAACUACUAGUUCAUUUUCAAGUUAAGAGCGCUUUCAUCUCACUACCUCCCAAAAUUGAAAACAAGUAAAAAGCAACCACUUCUUACAAGUGGUUAAGUAGAUAGGAUUCAUGUAUAUAAUAAAACAAUCAAACAGAACACAGAAACGUUUUAUCAAAUGGUCUUCACAAAAAGUAGGCGUACCAGAACAAUGCGUUGGAAAUCUCUCGAUUUGCAUUGUAUACACAAAAAAUAUUGCCUAUUUAAGGAUCUACCAUUCGACAAUGUGCUUAAAAUUUAAUGACUUUAAUACCCCUAUAUCCUACGCGUAUCCCACAACCAUCAUCUUCUUCACCACCUCUAGACUCCUUCGCCAACGUAAUCAACCAGCACCACUUGUUAUGGCCCCAAGCUAGGGUUAUAUGCCGCCGAUUCCACGUACAUCCUCUGUACACUUUCUGUACAUAGAAGCAGUAGAAAAUCGAGAGAGUUUGAUCUUUUAUCUUUACCAGCGGUCAAAUAUGUGUGUUUUGGCCAAAGUAAUGGUUAAGCUGAGACUUUUUUGUGUAGAAAUGAGAGAAUAGUGAAUUUGCUUGGUGAAGGCGGAGAGAGAGAAGACAAAUGUGCAAACGACCGGCGGCAGAGGGACGCCGAGUUUGGGUGGUUAAGCUGAGAAUGGCAAAAAAACUGAAAUCAAAAGAUGGGGUCAACUUGAAAAGAUCCAAGAAGCAGUAGAAAAUCGAGAGAGUUUGAUCUUUACCUAUACCAGCGGUCAAAUCUGUGUGUUUUGGCCUAAGUGGUGGUUAAGCUGAGACUUAUCGAGGGUUCGGUUGUCUCUUGAUCUUCAGUGUAGAGAUGAGAGAAGAGUGAGUUUGCUUGGUGAAGGCGGAGAGAGAGAGAAGACAGAUGUGCAAACGACCGGCGGCAAAGACAAAAACCCUACAUGGAAGAAGUCCUCUCUUUAUGGGAUAUCAACUGAAACCCUACAUUCCUUUUUGUUUGUUUUCGUUGGAAAAAGACAAAAAACUUGAUUUUCUUAAAAUAUGUUUUUUGUCUCAACGUUUCUAUCACAAAAGGCAACACUCUUUGUGUUCAAUAAAAAUAAAAGCAAUACUAUUUACUCGAAGAAAGAUAAAUCUGUUGAGAUUAUAAAAAGUAACCAUUUUUCGAAUUGACAAGGGCACAGCCGUCAUUUUACAAACACUUUUUUUUCUUUUUUGCUGCAGUAGCGUUCUAGAUACGCCUGCUAAAAGCUACGAACAUCAUCCUCGUAUUUUCUCUUUAUUACAAAUUCAUGCUCGUUUCUUUAAUUCAACUCUGGGCAUGUUCGUUUCUGGGUCUCAGCGACCCGCGGCCCGCAGACUGUAAUUUUUAGCGAUUAUGGUAAAUACCCUGCGACCAUACAUCGUAAAUUACAGAAAUACCCUUUCUGUUUGUAAGAAUCACAAAUAACCCAACCAUAAAUUAACUCUUUCUCCUCUUCUGAUUUUAUUCACAGUCGGCAAAAAAAUCUGCAUCUAGUAGCUCUUUUCUGAAAACUUCCAUUCACCGUUCUUGAGUAACACCUAGCAGCUCAUUCUCUAAUCGAACCGUUUCCGUCGGAUCCAUUGCUUUCCGAAGGUUUGGAAGUGAACAACAACAAGAACAAUGACGCAACUACUAAUCGCACGACUAUGAAACGAACAUAACUUGCGACAUAGAGUCGCAGUCUCAGAUCGCUGGUCGCGGGUCGCUGUGACGUUCAAACGAACAGAGACCGUCGCGUCUUCUUCUUCUUCUUCCAGAAAACCACCUCAGCUCUCAAAGCAAUCUUCAAGCCGUCUUCUUCCUCCUCCUUCGAUUUCGUCCUCCGAAGUUCUAGGAACCAAAUAAAUUAUCUAAUGAUCAAAUAAAAUGAUGUUUUUCAAUUUCAUCCUUCUUCAUUCCUCGUGUAUAAACAAAGAUCUCAUCAAAUAUAAUCAUUAAAAUAAGUUCAUCAGAAGACUCUAUAAUCUAAAUAAUUCUCUGGCGUAGUGGUAGUGGUUGAUUAACAUUAACUCUUACGCAAUGUGAAUGAGUGUAAGCUUCGUUGCCCGAACACGAUUGGUGCUGACCACACUAGGUGCUACCGCGUGCCUGAUACCAAGCAGAUCAAGAAUUGACUUUGGAGCCAACAAGAAAAUAUUUAUUUUAGGGGCUGAAUAAAUUAAGUUUCUCUCUAGUUCUGGUGGCAAAAGCUAGAUGUAUAACAGCAGGAAGUUAUAGAUUCGAAUAACAUGGGAACACCUUUUAAUAUUUUCCUGUUUUAUUUAGAUCAUGGACCAAAAAUUUUUUUUUGCUUCUGGACCCGAAAUUGUCAGGCCCGGCCCUGCUCUUACGGGCUCUUUAAAUCAUCCUUUUGAUCGUUUCGUUUCAUCGGACAGAUUGUGAAACAUUCAUAUAAAAUACACAUUAAAUUUUUGUGUUCAUUUAACAACAAGAAACCAGAAGAUCAUUGUUGAUUCAAGUCCUGACAUGAAAUGGAAAAUGAGAGAGAUGAACACUGAUGAAGACUAAAAGAGACAUAUAUAAUAGUAGUACAUGUUCAUGUUCAGAGAGAAAGACCAGAUUCUUCAUCCUCGUCCAGAGAUGAAGUGUAGGUAAAGUAGAACGUCCAGAUCAAACCAAACACUCC